rnacentral:rRNA from 1 species
AUACGGGGGGGGCAAGCGUUGUUCGGAAUUACUGGGCGUAAAGGGCGCGUAGGCGGACCAGACAGUCUCUCGUGAAAUCCCACGGCUCAACCGUGGAACUGCGGGAGAUACUACUGGCCUUGAGUUCGGGAGAGGAGUGUGGAAUUCCCAGUGUAGCGGUGAAAUGCGUAGAUAUUGGGAGGAACACCGGUGGCGAAGGCGGCACUCUGGACCGAUACUGACGCUGAGGCGCGAAAGCUAGGGGAGCAAACGGGAUUAGAAACCCCAGUAGUCC